CAGUAAGUAUCCCGCUGGGGAGUACGGCCGCAAGGCUAAAGCUCAAAGGAAUUGACGGGGGCCCGCACAAGCAGCGGAGCGUGUGGUUUAAUUCGACGCAACGCGCAACACCUUACCAAGGUUUGACAUCCUCGGAAUCCUGCUGAAAGGUGGGAGUGCCCGCAAGGGAGCCGGGAGACAGGUGCUGCAUGGCUGUCAUCAGCUCGUGUCGUGAGAUGUUGGGUUAAGUCCCGCAACGAGCGCAACCCCUGUGGCUAGUUACCUGGGUGUCUAGCCAGACUGCCGGACCAAACCGGAGGAAGGUGGGGAUGACGUCAAGUCAGCAUGGCCCUUACGCCUUGGGCGACACACACGCUACAAUGGCCGGGACAAUGGGUAGCCAAGCGGUAACGCGGAGCCAAUCCCCCAAACCCGGUCUCAGUUCAGAUCGAGGGCUGCAACUCGCCCUCGUGAAGGCGGAGUUGCUAGUAACCGCAGGUCAGCAGUACCGCGGUGAAUACGUUCCCGGG
rnacentral:rRNA from 1 species